UAAAGUAUUAUUCAAAAAUCUCUCCUCUCAUACUAUUAAGGUAUUACGACGAUGCUGCUUGUGUGCUAAGAAAAAUGUGUUUAGACGCAAAGGCUCCUCAUCUUUCAUCGACUCUGCCACUCACUUUACCUUGGAAGUUCAAUAAACAUGUACAACCUAAUAAAGGACUAACCCGCCAAGGCAAUGGGAACUCAGAAGAGCUACGUUGUGUCAUUGCUGUUAUUCGACAGUAUGUUUUCUUAGCAUAUAAAUCACCUUUAUCUCCUCUAUACUUCUAUCUGUUAAAAUUUUGUAAUUACAUGACCAUGGCGAUCGAACUCCAAAACAGAAGGUGAAACUAAAUGUUACAGAGGAGAAACUGUUAAACCUGAUGCUGAAGUACAAUGAUGGAAAGCCAAGAGCUGAGACAAAACUAAAAAGUGCAGUCCAGUUGCAAGACCUAUUAGAUGCAACAAGAAUGUUAGUUCCCCGUACAAGACCAGGUCGUGAGAGUGAUAGUGAUCCAGAAGACCUUGAACAUGCUGAGAAGCUU